rnacentral:rRNA from 1 species
GACGAACGCUGGCGGCGUGCUUAACACAUGCAAGUCGAACGGACUACUUUGCUUCGGUAAGGUGGUUAGUGGCGAACGGGUGAGUAACGCGUAGACAACCUACCUCUUAGAUGGGGACAACAUCGCGAAAGCGGUGCUAAUACCGAAUGAAGUGACUUUCCUGCAUGGGAGAGAUACUAAAGGUGGCCUCUAUUUAUAAGCUACCACUGAGAGAUGGGUCUGCGUCUGAUUAGCUAGUUGGCGGGGUAACGGCCCACCAAGGCGACGAUCAGUAGCGGGGCUGAGAGGAUGAACGGCCAAAUUGGGACGGAGACACGGCCCAAACUCCUACGGGAGGCAGCAGUGGGGAAUCUUCCGCAAGGGACGAAGGUCUGAAGGAGCAACGCCGCGUGAGUGAAGAAGGUUUUCGGAUCGUAAAGCUCUGUUGUUUGAGACGAAUGUGCCUGUUUCGAAUAGGGAUAGGUAAUGACGGUAUUAAACGAGAAAGCCACGGCUAACUACGUGCCAGCCGCCGCCGUAA